UACGAGUGGUGCAAGCGUUAUUCGGAAUCAUUGGGCGUAAAGGGUGUGUAGACGGCAUAUUAAGUCAAUUGUUUAAUUCUCCGGCCUAACCGGAGUCCAGCGGUAGAUACUGGUAUGCUAGAGGGUGGAAGAGAGAAGUGGAAUUCUCGGAGUAGCGGUAAAAUGCGUAGAUCUCGAGAGGAACACCAAUGGCGAAGGCAGCUUCUUGGUCCAUACCUGACGUUGAGACACGAAAGCGUGGGGAGCAAACAGG
rnacentral:rRNA from 1 species